rnacentral:rRNA from 1 species
GUUGAACGCUGGCGGCGUGCUUAACACAUGCAAGUCGAACGAGUGGCGGACGGGUGAGUAAUGUCUGGGAAACUGCCUGAUGGAGGGGGAUAACUACUGGAAACGGUAGCUAAUCCCGCAUACCAUCGGAUGUGCCCAGAUGGGAUUGGCUAGUCGGUGGGGUAAAGGCUCACCUAGGCGACGAUCCCUAGCUGGGCUGAGAGGAUGACCAGCCACACUGGAACUGAGACACGGUCCAGACUCCUACGGGAGGCAGCAGUGGGGAAUAUUGCACAAUGGGCGCAAGCCUGAUGCAGCCAUGCCGCGUGUAUGAAGAAGGCCUUCGGGUUGUAAAGUACUUUCAGCGGGGAGGCGUUACCCGCAGAAGAAGCACCGGCUAACUCCGUGCCAGCAGCCGCGGUAAUAC